CCUACGGGAGGCAGCAGUGGGGAAUAUUGCACAAUGGGGGAAACCCUGAUGCAGCGACGCCGCGUGAGCGAAGAAGUAAUUCGUUACGUAAAGCUCUAUCAGCAGGGAAGAAACACUGACCUUACGGUCAGCAGACGGUACCUGAGUACGAAGCCCCGGCUAACUACGUGCCAGCAGCCGCGGUAAUACGCAGGGGGCAAGCGUUAUCCGGAUUUACUGGGUGUAAAGGGAACGUAGACGGUGCGCCAAGUCAGGAGUGAAAUGCCGCAGCUUAACUGCGGAACUGCUUUGGAAACUGGAGAACUAGAGUGCGGGAGGGGUAAGCGGAAUUCCUAGUGUAGCGGUGAAAUGCGUAGAUAUUAGGAGGAACACCGGUGGCGAAGGCGGCUUACUGGACCGUAACUGACGUUGAGGCUCGAAAGCGUGGGGAGCAAACAGGAUUAGAUACCCCAGUAGUC
rnacentral:rRNA from 1 species